UCGAAACCUGCAAAUGACCUGCGAACUAGUUAUCAACAUGUUGGGAGAGAUGGGAGAAAUCCCAUAGCUUCUUCGUGCCAGUGGUGGCUAAUUGUGUCGUUAUAAUGGCGGCAUGAUUAUUCGACACUCGGACAAACUAACCAACCCCGGCGCGGUAUGUGCCAAGGAACUUUGCAUUAAAUGUGGUCGUGCCCACGAUCGUUCCGUAAAACGGAAGAAGCGAACGUGAUCUUGGCCACUUUUUCAUUACACAAAACGACUCUCGGCAACGGAUAUCUAGGCUCUUGCAUCGAUGAAGAACGUAGCGAAAUGCGAUACUUGGUGUGAAUUGCA
rnacentral:misc_RNA from 1 species